UACGUAGGGGGCUAGCGUUGUCCGGAAUCAUUGGGCGUAAAGAGCGUGUAGGCGGUCCGGUAAGUCCGCUGUGAAAGUCGGGGGCUCAACCCUCGAAUGCCGGUGGAUACUGUCGGGCUAGAGUGCGGAAGAGGCGAGUGGAAUUCCUGGUGUAGCGGUGAAAUGCGCAGAUAUCAGGAGGAACACCGAUUGCAAAGGCAGCUCGCUGGGACGCAACUGACGCUGAGACGCGAAAGCGUGGGGAGCAAACAGG
rnacentral:rRNA from 1 species